GGAGAGCCUCAGUAUACAACCAGCCCGUUUGGAAGCAGCACCUAAAUUUCGGUUAACAAAAAAGCAGAUCAAAAUUUUCUGUAAAAAUUAAUAACUUUUGGCGAAUCCAAAUUUUAGAAAGAAGGACAAAAAGUAUAAAAAAAACAUGGAUUUCUCAGCUAAUCAAUUUCCCAUUUGGUUGGAAAUCAAAGAUGUGGACACCCGUUCAGAGACCGCCCAGCAGUCUUCGGCAGCUUCAGGUUCCCGUAGUCGAAAUGCAAAUAGUUUAAAAAUAGAGCACCGCCAGAAUUUCUACCAUCUACGCUGAAAAAAAACUUUGUGUAUUCCUCGACGAAUCUUCCCCGUGAAGCCGCUCAGUGUGUUCCCCCCACUUCCGAAAUUGUCAAUCAAAAGAAAUUUGAAAGCGAAUAUGUGUAAUUCAGAGACGUGAAGCGCCAGAUUUCUCAACUUCCUAACGCAGAUGAUACUGGAUCUAGGAUCUUCGAGGACUGCAGCAGAGGAAUCGUUAAUUUGGCCCUUGAAAUGUUCCAGUCUUUAAUGUCCUUGUUGUCUUUCUUUGUGUUCUGUGGUGUAUACGAAAUGACGAAUGAAAACUAGUACAUAGGAGUAUGAAGGCGUGUAGUCAACUGUAUUUUUAAAUAAAUGUCAAAAA
rnacentral:sRNA from 1 species